GCCUCGCGGUCCCGGAACUUUCCCCGGGGUCGGCGGAGGCUCGGCCGGGCCAUGGAGGAGGGGGCUAGCACCGCGCCCCCGCUCUGGAACUGGGACUACCUGGAGCGCUGCUUCGCCCGCCGCCGCGUCUGCAUCUCCUUCGGCCUGUGGAUCUGCGCCGCCUGCUGCUGGAUCGCUGCCCACACGCUGAUUCUCUACUUGAGAUGCACAAAGAAGUGUGGCCAAGACCAGUCGACACUGUGUGCUGCGUUCUGCCUCCUGACGAGUCUGUGUGACACUGUGGGGGCGAUUCUGGCCAGACAACUCACGAUCCAGGUGUUCACUGGGGCCUACCUAGCAGUUGUCGACUUCAUGAACUUCAUCUCCAUUCUCUUUCCUGUCUGUGGAUCCAAAUCCAAGUCGAAGUCCGGUGAG
rnacentral:lncRNA from 1 species